rnacentral:rRNA from 1 species
UACGUAGGGUGCAAGCGUUGUCCGGAAUUAUUGGGCGUAAAGAGCUCGUAGGCGGUUUGUCGCGUCUGCUGUGAAAACUCGGGGCUUAACCCCGGGCCUGCAGUGGGUACGGGCAGACUAGAGUGCGGUAGGGGAGACUGGAAUUCCUGGUGUAGCGGUGAAAUGCGCAGAUAUCAGGAGGAACACCGGUGGCGAAGGCGGCGUCCUGGACCAACACUGACACUGAGGAGCGAAAGCCAGGGGAGCAAACGGG